rnacentral:rRNA from 1 species
AGAGUUUGAUCCUGGCUCAGGACGAACGCUGGCGGCGCGCCUAACACAUGCAAGUCGAACGAGCGAGAGAGAGCUUGCUUUCUCGAGCGAGUGGCGAACGGGUGAGUAACGCGUGAGGAACCUGCCUCAAAGAGGGGGACAACAGUUGGAAACGACUGCUAAUACCGCAUAAGCCCACGGGUCGGCAUCGACCAGAGGGAAAAGGAGCAAUCCGCUUUGAGAUGGCCUCGCGUCCGAUUAGCUAGUUGGUGAGGUAACGGCCCACCAAGGCAACGAUCGGUAGCCGGACUGAGAGGUUGAACGGCCACAUUGGGACUGAGACACGGCCCAGACUCCUACGGGAGGCAGCAGUGGGGAAUAUUGCACAAUGGGGGAAACCCUGAUGCAGCGACGCCGCGUGGAGGAAGAAGGUCUUCGGAUUGUAAACUCCUGUUGUUGGGGAAGAUAAUGACGGUACCCAACAAGGAAGUGACGGCUAACUACGUGCCAGCAGCCGCGGUAAAACGUAGGUCACAAGCGUUGUCCGGAAUUACUGGGUGUAAAGGGAGCGCAGGCGGGAAGACAAGUUGGAAGUGAAAUCUAUGGGCUCAACCCAUAAACUGCUUUCAAAACUGUUUUUCUUGAGUAGUGCAGAGGUAGGCGGAAUUCCCGGUGUAGCGGUGGAAUGCGUAGAUAUCGGGAGGAACACCAGUGGCGAAGGCGGCCUACUGGGCACCAACUGACGCUGAGGCUCGAAAGUGUGGGUAGCAAACAGGAUUAGAUACCCUGGUAGUCCACACCGUAAACGAUGAUUACUAGGUGUUGGAGGAUUGACCCCUUCAGUGCCGCAGUUAACACAAUAAGUAAUCCACCUGGGGAGUACGACCGCAAGGUUGAAACUCAAAGGAAUUGACGGGGGCCCGCACAAGCAGUGGAGUAUGUGGUUUAAUUCGACGCAACGCGAAGAACCUUACCAAGUCUUGACAU